GACGAACGCUGGCGGCGUGCUUAACACAUGCAAGUCGAACGGCAAGGCCCUGCUUUUGUGGGGUGCUCGAGUGGGGAUCGGGUGAGUAAGACGAGAGUAACCUGCCCUUGACUUUGGGAUAGCUUCAGGAAACUGGGGCUAAUACCGGAUAGGAGCUCCUGCUGCAUGGUGGGGGUUGGAAAGUUUCGGCGGUUGGGGAUGGAUUGGCGGGUAAUCAGCUUGUUGGUGGGGUAGUGGCUUACCCAGGAUUUGACGGGUAGGCGGCCUGGGAGGGUGACCGGCCACAUUGGGACUGAGAGACGGACCAGACGGCUACGGGGGGCAGCAGGGGGGAAUAUUGCACAAUGGGCGGAAGCCGGAGGAAGCAACGCCGCGUGCGGGAUGACGGCCUUCUGGUUGUAAACCGCUGUCGCCUAUGACGAAGCGUGAGUGACGGUAAUGGGUAAAGAAGCACCGGCUAACUACGUG
rnacentral:rRNA from 1 species